ACGGUGAGGGAUGAAAGCUGGGGGAGCAAACCCGAGAAGAUACCCGGGUAGUCCCAGCUGUAAACGAUGCAGACUCGGUGAUGAGUUGGCUUCUUGCUAACUCAGUGCCGCAGGGAAGCCGUUAAGUUUGCCGCCUGGGGAGUACGGUCGCGAGACUGAAACUUAAAGGAAUUGGCGGGGGAGCACCACAACGGGCCAAGCCUGCGGUUCAAUUGGAGUCAACGCCG
rnacentral:rRNA from 1 species